rnacentral:rRNA from 1 species
AGACCACCCGGUCUCAUUUCGAACCCGGAAGUUAAGCCCGCCAGCGAUUUGGGUUGUACUGCGUUCCGAGAGGGCGUGGGAAGCCCAAGACGCUGCCAACC